GUAUGCUCAGCUCCAGUACAACCCAACCAGCACCUGCUGCUAGAGCUAACUGCCACGCCGUCGUUUCAGCUCCCACUGGGCCUGGACCACAUAGCCCCAGGCCAAACCUCAGGAGGAGAGAAAAGAAGGUUUUGUUGGAGGAGGAUUUGACUGGAGUGGUGGUUGAUGUGUGAAGAGUUUUCUCCAGGCUGGGCUUUAGGAUCUGGUCAGAGGGCUCAGGCUGACAUGACAUGAGGGGGGCCUCCUUCUAGUUCACAUGAAGCCUUGAACCCUGAAGAACUAUUAAGAGUGUGACUUAGAAAGUAAGACAGCAUCCUACAUCGCAUUUAAAAUAGAGCACUGUGGCAGUAGAGAGAUGUCAGAAUAACCUCUCCAUGUGAUAUCAUUGACGAGGAGGAGGACAAGGACUUUGGCGCCAACUGAUGACGUCAGCGAUUCGACUAGUUCCUACUGCGCUGCCCUAUGUUCACUAAGUGAUUUUGGCGAGGUGGAAGAACCAAAUGACAAACCGUGUCCUGAGCCCCAACCUCUAGUCUCAGCCCCGCUAACACCACCUUUAUCUGAAGUUAGUGAUGCUGCUCUACUGCCUGAGCCCUGUAUAACCAACCUGACAGAGGAGGGAGAGAGUACAGACGGGUCAGGAAAACAUCAGAUAAAACUUCUGCAUCCAAAAAAUGGGAUACCUUAAGGGGCACUGUCGCUGGCGCCCUCCCUGAUACUGACACCAAUGAGGGGCUCUGAUCCUCUCAACCCAGAUUCACCUCCAAGACUAUUUUGAUCAGACCAAAAGUAAACCAAUACAACCAGGACAGGGGACGAGAACACUUGGGCAGAAAGCCAAAUGAGGAUUCCACAACAUAUGGUAGAAAGCAGGAAAAGGGUCCCAGUAUCUGUGGUACUGAAAGUAAACUCCUUAGCAGCCCCC